rnacentral:rRNA from 1 species
GACGAACGCUGGCGGCGUGCCUAAUACAUGCAAGUAGAACGCUGAGGAGAGGAGCUUGCUCUUCUUGGAUGAGGUGCGAACGGGUGAGUAACGCGUAGGUAACCUGCCUUGUAGCGGGGGAUAACUAGGGGAAACGAGAGCUAAUACCGCAUAACAAUGGAUGACACAUGUCAGUUAGGUGAAAGGGGCAAUUGCUGCAGUAGAAGAUGGACCUGCGUCUUAUUAGCGAGUAGGUGAGGUAAUGGCGCACCUAGGGGUUGAUGGGUAGCCGGCCUGAGAGGGUGGCCGGCCACAUUGGGACUGAGAUACGGCCCAGACUGCUACGGUGGGCAGCGGUGGGGAAUCUUGCACGAUGGGCGGAAGCCUGAUGCAGCAGCGCCGCGUGCGGGAUGACGGCCUUCGGGGUGUAAACCGGUUUCGCCUGUAACGAAGCGUGAGUGACGGUAAUGUGUAAAGAAGCACCGGCUAACUACGUG